CGUGAUGAAAUCAAAGAUUACUAUAAAUGCGGCAGAAUAGAAACUGUCGUUCCACGAGCUAUAAAAGUUGAAUCUGAUCUGAAAGUUAAAUUAGCUGUAUUUGAACGAGUUUGGCACAGUUCACUGUGCUUCUCCUGUUAUUUUGAGAAUGAAACAGUUGAUCAUGUCAAUCCUUCUUGGAACUGCUGUGCUUUUCGUUGGUACUGGCGGUA
rnacentral:lncRNA from 1 species